UUCAGGGAUGGGAAUCGAACCCACAGUGUUCCGCUUACCAGGCAGAUGCCAUGUCCACUAAGCUCAUACUUCAUCCCUAA